GGCUGGUCCUAUGGUAGUGGAUUAUCAGAACUGAUUAACAUUAGUGUCACUAAAGUUGGUAUACAACCCCUCACUGCUAAAUUUGAUUGGCUUUAA
rnacentral:Y_RNA from 1 species